rnacentral:rRNA from 1 species
GAUGAACGCUAGCGGCAGGCUUAAUACAUGCAAGUCGAGGGGCAGCAUGAUUGUAGCAAUACAAUUGAUGGCGACCGGCAAGCGGGUGCGGAACACGUACACAACCUUCCAACAAGUGGGGGAUAGCCCAGAGAAAUUUGGAUUAAUACCCCGUAACAUAGCGAUGUGGCAUCACAUUGCUAUUAUAGAUUUUUCGCUUGUUUAUGGGUGUGCGGCUGAUUAGAUAGUUGGCGGGGUAACGGCCUAACAAGGCGACGAUCUGUAGCUGAUGUGAAGGCAGGAGAGAGCACACCGCUAUGGCGACACGGGGCCGAUCCCUGCGGAAGGCAGCAGUACGAAAUAUUGGACAAUGGACGCAAGCCUGGUCCAGCCAUGCGGCGGGAAGAAUUAAGGUCCUCUUGAUUGUAAACUUCUUUUAUAAGGGACGAAAAAAGGCUUUUCUAAGUCGUCUGACGGUACCUUAUGAAUAAGCACCGGCUAACUCCGUGCCAGCAGCCGCCGUAACAC